CCUACGGGUGGCAGCAGUGAGGAAUAUUGGUCAAUGGGCGCGAGCCUGAACCAGCCAAGCCGCGUGAAGGAUGACGGCCCUACGUAUUGUAAACUUCUUUUGUAAGGGAAUAAAGUCAGGGACGCGUACCUGUAUGAAGGUACCUGAUGAAUAAGCAUCGGCUAACUCCGUGCCAGCAGCCGCGGUAAUACGGAGGAUUCGAGCGUUAUCCGGAUUUAUUGGGUUUAAAGGGUGCGUAGGGGGGCUGUUAAGUCAGUGGUGAAAUUUUGCGGCUCAACCGCGGAAUUGCGUUUGAUACUGGCUGGCUAGAGUAUAGUUGAGGUAGGCGGAAUGCGUGGUGUAGCGGUGAAAUGCUUAGAUAUCACGCAGAACCCCGAUUGCGAAGGCAGCUUACCAACCUGCCACUGACGUUGAGGCACGAAAGCGUGGGUAGCAAACAGGAUUAGAUACCCCAGUAGUC
rnacentral:rRNA from 1 species